rnacentral:rRNA from 1 species
AUUGAACGCUGGCGGCAUGCCUUACACAUGCAAGUCGAACGGCAGCAUGGAGAGCUUGCUCUCUGAUGGCGAGUGGCGAACGGGUGAGUAAAGCAUCGGAACGUACCGUGUAGUGGGGGAUAACGUAGCGAAAGUUACGCUAAUACCGCAUACGCACUGAGGUGGAAAGCAGGGGAUCGUAAGACCUUGCGCUAUACGAGCGGCCGAUGUCAGAUUAGCUAGUUGGUAGGGUAAAGGCCUACCAAGGCGACGAUCUGUAGCGGGUCUGAGAGGAUGAUCCGCCACACUGGGACUGAGACACAGCCCAGACUCCUACGGGAGGCAGCAGUGGGGAAUUUUGGACAAUGGGGGCAACCCUGAUCCAGCCAUGCCGCGUGAGUGAAGAAGGCCUUCGGGUUGUAAAGCUCUUUCGGCCGGGAAGAAAUCGCACAGGCUAAUACCCUGUGUGGAUGACGGUACCGGCAUAAGAAGCACCGGCUAACUACGUG